UUUAGAAUGUUUUACAACCUUGUUACUAAGGUUUUCUUGUUCUUUUUAUAAUGUUUCCUAUAUUCGACAAGCAACUGAAGCUGUUCAGCUAGGAAUUGUUUGUUAAAUAGACCUAGAAAUGUCCUGGCAAUAUUUGCAGGGUUUUCUUUUGUUUUAAUCUUUUUUAACAAAAUUCUAAUGCACGUUGCUUUAAAACUGACUCUAUUUCUCUUCCUGUUUCUCGGUGCCUGCUGUUGCUAAGUCGUUUGCAGCUAUGCUGGAGAACCGCCUUGAAGGGUUUUAGUCAAAGAAACUGACCUCAGGACUUAUUCUUUUACAAAUAUACUGAAAAUGAUGUUCAAAGAAGGAUGAAUAAUGCAGUGGAUCUUUUUGAAAGUUAAUCCCAAGUGACCCUCCAAACUACUUCAGAAGGAUUGCAAAGAUAUGUCUUUAUUUGAAUUAUCCAUGUGAACUGCCUCUACAUUGAACAUGGAAGAAUUUGUGAAGAUACAUCAGAUAGAUGCUUUUUACUUAUGAUGUCUUUGGAAAUGAAUUCUGAAUAAAACAUGACUCAAUCACAUGAGGAAGAAACAGAAGCAAGAUGAUGGCGAUUUCUAGGAUAUUGGUAUGGUUUUGAGAAGAGACAAAUUUGAUUACAUGUUUGGAUUCUGUGAAGUUGUUUUUUUCUUAUACCACUGCAGUGCUUUGGUUGUAUCGCAUAAAUAUAUUUGGUGGCCAUU